AAUCAACGCUGGCGGCGUGCCUCAGACAUGCAAGUCGAACGAUUAAAGCUCUCUUCGGAGAGUGUAUAGAGUGGCGCACGGGUGAGUAACACGUAAGUAAUCUACCCUCGGGUGGGGAAUAACAUUCGGAAACGAAUGCUAAUACCGCAUAAUGCAGCGGCUACCUAAUGGAGACAGUUAGUUAAAGGAGUAAUUCGCCGUGGGGAGGAGCUUGCGGCAGAUUAGCAGUUGGUAAGGUGAUGGCUUACCAGGCAACGAUCUGUAGCCGGUCUAAGAGGACGGUCGGUCACACUGACACUGAAUAACGGGUCAGACUCCGUACGGGAGGCAGCAGUCGGGUAAUUUUGGGCAAGUGGGCGAAAGCCUCGACCCAGCAACGCCGCGUGAAGGAUG
rnacentral:rRNA from 1 species